rnacentral:rRNA from 2 species
GGAACGAGUGGCGGACGGGUGAGUAACACGUGGGUAACCUGCCCUUAAGUGGGGGAUAACAUUUGGAAACAGAUGCUAAUACCGCAUAGAUCCAAGAACCGCAUGGUUCUUGGCUGAAAGAUGGCGUAAGCUAUCGCUUUUGGAUGGACCCGCGGCGUAUUAGCUAGUUGGUGAGGUAAUGGCUCACCAAGGCGAUGAUACGUAGCCGAACUGAGAGGUUGAUCGGCCACAUUGGGACUGAGACACGGCCCAAACUCCUACGGGAGGCAGCAGUAGGGAAUCUUCCACAAUGGACGCAAGUCUGAUGGAGCAACGCCGCGUGAGUGAAGAAGGCUUUCGGGUCGUAAAACUCUGUUGUUGGAGAAGAAUGGUCGGCAGAGUAACUGUUGUCGGCGUGACGGUAUCCAACCAGAAAGCCACGGCUAACUACGUGCCAGCAGCCGCGGUAAUACGUA